UACGUAGGGGGCUAGCGUUGUCCGGAAUCAUUGGGCGUAAAGAGCGUGUAGGCGGCCCGGUAAGUCCGCUGUGAAAGUCGGGGGCUCAACCCUCGGAUGCCGGUGGAUACUGUCGGGCUUGAGUACGGAAGAGGCGAGUGGAAUUCCUGGUGUAGCGGUGAAAUGCGCAGAUAUCGGGAAGAACACCCGUGGCGAAGGCGGCUCUCUGGAACGCAACUGACGCUGAGACGCGAAAGCGUGGGGAGCAAACAGG
rnacentral:rRNA from 1 species